UGGGGAAUAUUGCACAAUGGGCGCAAGCCUGAUGCAGCAACGCCGCGUGAGGGAUGACGGCCUUCGGGUUGUAAACCUCUUUUAGUGGGGAAGAAGCGAAAGUGACGGUACCUGCAGAAAAAGCACCGGCUAACUACGUGCCAGCAGCCGCGGUAAUACGUAGGGUGCGAGCGUUGUCCGGAAUUAUUGGGCGUAAAGAGCUCGUAGGCGGUCUGUCGCGUCUGCUGUGAAAACCCGAGGCUCAACCUCGGGCCUGCAGUGGGUACGGGCAGACUAGAGUGCGGUAGGGGAGAAUGGAAUUCCUGGUGUAGCGGUGGAAUGCGCAGAUAUCAGGAGGAACACCGAUGGCGAAGGCAGUUCUCUGGGCCGUAACUGACGCUGAGGAGCGAAAGCGUGGGGAGCGAACAGGAUUAGAUACCCUGGUAGUCCACGCCGUAAACGUUGGGCGCUAGAUGUGGGGACCAUUCCACGGUUUCCGUGUCGCAGCUAACGCAUUAAGCGCCCCGCCUGGGGAGUACGGCCGCAA
rnacentral:rRNA from 1 species